CCAAGUGUGUGUUCUGGUCGUGAGUUCUAACAGGAGAAAAAGGGGUUUCCCUAAUGAACCCUAAAAUACACAAAAUCAACCAAAUCAAGAGGGCAAAUCAAGUCUAAAUCGAAAACCAAGCUAGGAUUAGUGAUCACUCGGGCUAGAGGAUCACAAGUUUGACCCUGACAAGCUAGGUAGGAGCUUGGAAAUGAACGGGUCAAAUGGAUACAAGUUCAAGUAUGAGGCUCGCAAGGAUGCAAGGAAAUUAGUGGAUCUGGCAAGGUAUGCAGUCACGUCAAGCUGCG